rnacentral:rRNA from 1 species
CCUACGGGUGGCAGCAGUGGGGAAUAUUGCACAAUGGGGGCAACCCUGAUGCAGCGACGCCGCGUGAGUGAUGAAGUAUUUCGGUAUGUAAAGCUCUAUCAGCAGGGAAGAAACUGACGGUAUCUGUUUAAGUAGCCCUGGCUAACUACGUGCCAGCAGCCGUGGUAAUACGCAGGGGGCAAGCGUUAUCCGGAUUUACUGGGUGUAAAGGGAGCGUAGACGGCAGCACAAGUCAGGAGUGAAAUGCCGGGGCUUAACCCCGGAACUGCUUUGGAAACUGUGCAGCUAGAGUGCAGGAGAGGUAAGUGGAAUUCGUGGUGUAGCGGUGAAAUGCGUAGAUAUUAGGAGGAACACCAGUGGCGAAGGCGGCUUACUGGACUGUAACUGACGUUGAGGCUCGAAAGCGUGGGGAGCAAACAGGAUUAGAUACCCUUGUAGUC